rnacentral:rRNA from 1 species
GAUGAACGCUGGCGGCGUGCUUAACACAUGCAAGUCGAACGGAAAGGCUCCUGCUUGCAGGGGUACUCGAGUGGCGAACGGGUGAGUAACACGUGGGUGACCUGCCCUGCACUUCGGGAUAAGCCUGGGAAACUGGGUCUAAUACCGGAUAGGACCACAUUUUGGAUGGUGUGGUGGAAAGUUUUUCGGUGUGGGAUGAGCUCGCGGCCUAUCAGCUUGUUGGUGGGGUAAUGGCCUACCAAGGCGUCGACGGGUAGCCGGCCUGAGAGGGUGUACGGCCACAUUAGGACUGAGAUACGGCCCAGGCUCCUACGGGAGGCAGCAGUGGGGAAUAUUGCACAAUGGGCGCAAGCCUGAUGCAGCGACGCCGCGUGGGGGAUGACGGCCUUCGGGUUGUAAACUCCUUUCGCUAGGGACGAAGCGCAAGUGACGGUACCUGGAGAAGAAGCACCGGCUAACUACGUG